ACGAACGCUGGCGGCGUGCUUAACACAUGCAAGUCGAACGGAAAGGCCCUUCGGGGUACUCGAGUGGCGAACGGGUGAGUAACACGUGGGUGAUCUGCCCUGCACUUUGGGAUAAGCCUGGGAAACUGGGUCUAAUACCGAAUAGGACCACGCGCUUCAUGGUGUGUGGUGGAAAGCUUUUGCGGUGUGGGAUGGGCCCGCGGCCUAUCAGCUUGUUGGUGGGGUAAUGGCCUACCAAGGCGACGACGGGUAGCCGGCCUGAGAGGGUGACCGGCCACACUGGGACUGAGAUACGGCCCAGACUCCUACGGGAGGCAGCAGUGGGGAAUAUUGCACAAUGGGCGCAAGCCUGAUGCAGCGACGCCGCGUGAGGGAUGACGGCCUUCGGGUUGUAAACCUCUUUCAAUAGGGACGAAGCGCAAGUGAUGGUACCUAUAGAAGAAGCACCGGCCAACUACGUG
rnacentral:rRNA from 1 species